CAAUUUUGUGGCAAUAUUAUGGAUGGACUAUUUUAAUCGGAUUCUUGGCCUUAUUUUUUUACAUUCCUUUCCAAAUUGCUUUGAGCAAACUAUAUACAAAAUUCAGAUCAGAAGCUGCUACUUUGGGAGACAAAAGAUUGAACCUAUUGAAUGAGAUGAUUACUGCUAUGAGAAUAAUUAAAAUGUUCACUUGGGAAUCGCCAUAUACCAAGUUAAUAGAAAAAAGCAGAAUAAAAGAAAUGAAAAAAGUUGAAUUGUUUUUAUAUACAAGAGGAAUAUCAUUAAUACUUGCAUAUCCUGUAUCGAAAUUAUUUAUUUCAUUGACAUUUCUUGCAUUCUUUUUGAAUAGAGGACAUUUAUAUGCUGAAAUUGUGUUUGUCACUAUGAGUUUUUCAGUGAUUAUAUUUACCAGCACUUUUAAUAUAUUUUCUCAAGCGAUGAAUUUAGUUGCAGAAAUAUUGGUUUCA